UACGUAGGGGGCUAGCGUUGUCCGGAAUCAUUGGGCGUAAAGCGCGUGUAGGCGGCCCGGUAAGUCCGCUGUGAAAGUCGGGGGCUCAACCCUCGGAUGCCGGUGGAUACUGUCGGGCUAGAGUGCGGAAGAGGCGAGUGGAAUUCCUGGUGUAGCGGUGAAAUGCGCAGAUAUCAGGAGGAACACCAAUGGCGUAGGCAGCUCGCUGGGACGGUACUGACGCUGAGGCGCGAAAGCGUGGGGAGCAAACAGG
rnacentral:rRNA from 1 species